CCUACGGGAGGCAGCAGUGAGGAAUAUUGGACAAUGGGCGCAAGCCUGAUCCAGCCAUGCCGCGUGCAGGAAGACGGUCCUAUGGAUUGUAAACUGCUUUUAUACAGGAAGAAACACCUCUACGUGUAGAGACUUGACGGUACUGUAUGAAUAAGCAUCGGCUAACUCCGUGCCAGCAGCCGCGGUAAUACGGAGGAUGCAAGCGUUAUCCGGAAUCAUUGGGUUUAAAGGGUCCGUAGGCGGUUUAAUAAGUCAGUGGUGAAAGCCCAUCGCUCAACGAUGGAACGGCCAUUGAUACUGUUAAACUUGAAUUAUUAGGAAGUAACUAGAAUAUGUAGUGUAGCGGUGAAAUGCUUAGAGAUUACAUGGAAUACCAAUUGCGAAGGCAGGUUACUACUAAUAUAUUGACGCUGAUGGACGAAAGCGUGGGGAGCGAACAGGAUUAGAUACCCUGGUAGUCCACGCCGUAAACGAUGGAUACUAGNUGUGAGNAUNUGAGUGNGUAGAGAAGAGAUAAGUAUACCACCGUCGGGAGGUACGUUCGCGAGAAGAGAAACGUUAAAGUAAAGUUAGUACGGACGUAGAGACGUAGACCGACGGACGACGACGAGGGGAGGGUUAGGGNG
rnacentral:rRNA from 1 species